rnacentral:rRNA from 1 species
CCUACGGGAGGCUGCAGUGAGGAAUAUUGGUCAAUGGGCGCGAGCCUGAACCAGCCAAGUCGCGUGAGGGAUGACGGCCCUACGGGUUGUAAACCUCUUUUGCCGGGGAGCAACGGGCGCCACGUGUGGCGCCACUGAGAGUACCCGGAGAAAAAGCAUCGGCUAACCCCGUGCCGGCAGCCGCGGUAAUACGGAGGAAGCGAGCGUCAUCCGGAUUUAUUGGGUUUGAAGGGUGCGUAGGCGGAUCGUUAAGGCCGUGGUAAAAUUGAGGGGCUCAACCCCUUCCCGCCAUUGAAACUGGCGCUCUUGAGUGGAAGAGAAGUAUGCGGAAUGCGUGGUGGAGCGGUGAAAUGCAUAGAUAUCACGCAGAACCCCGAUUGCGAAGGCAGCAUGCCGGCUUCCGACUGACGCUGAAGCACGAAAGCGUGGGGAUCGAACAGGAUUAGAUACCCUGGUAGUC